UAUACAUACCGAAAUUCUAGGAAAUUCACUUAUCAUCUAGAAAAACUACUCAUACAUUUUAAAAAAAAAAAAAAAAAACAUUAUAAAGUAUUGAUUGAUGCAAAAAUGUACCAUGGCGUCACAACAAGGUCAUCGACGCCGUUAUAAAGUAGGUAUCUGUUAUUAUAAUCUAGAGUUGAUGUUAUUUCGUAAUUCAGUAAAUUGCCAUAAACUUUCGAUUAAAUCCGUAUUACCUGUGCAAAUAUAUUUUCUUUUAUGGUGUCAGACGUGAUUCAGUACCAUUCUUAGGUUAUCCAUAGAGAUGAUGAUUACUAAAAAUUUAUCAGCUGUAAAAAGAAAGAUCAAAGGUGACUACUAGUUUCCAAAACAUAUGACAGAUGGCACCACUUGCCUUCCGGGAAAAGUUGAAGUGUAGAGUUCCUGUUUCCUUGUUUUAGUUUAGAAGGCAAAAGGUUUCCACUGAAAAGUAUUUAGCAAAUUAGCAGUUUGACUUCCGAAUUGUGAGGAGCAAUGCUGGUGCCUAAUAACGCUGAGAACUGAUAUGCUCUGAAUCGUUCUGUGAAGGACUGAAGUGAUAAUCAUCAACUACUGCUGUUUUCCAUUAAACAAAAAUACAGCUUGAAGUCCAGACCUCUUCAGAAAAAGAGCCCGAGACUCGACGCUCUUUGGGACAAAGAACUGCAAAUCAAUUAGGUAUGCCUUUGUGUUUUUAUAGUUUUAAGUAGUUUAUUGAAAUUAAUUCUGUUCACUGUCAUGGAGACUUUUGCUCUGCAAAAUCUAACCGCUCUUCAGAUAUGUUUUAUGUCUUGUGUAGUAGCUAGCGCACCCACUGAGUUCGUGAAAGUGAUUCUAACCAUUUAUGGCCCAUCGUCAGCUUCUUGUGGAUGCGGAGAUUUGGAAAUAGUCAAAAGGAGGUUGGAGGAUGAAGUUAAUGGCCCUAACAUAAUUAUGAGCCGUUCGGCAUCGUUGCAAGGUUGCGUCGGUCUUGAUUUGCAAAGUGCGUAAGUUUAAUUGUAGGGCUCUGAUAUCUGAGAAUACAAUGCUUUGGUUAUUAAACUACAGUGUUUGAGAUUUGGAAGGAGUAUAUGCUGAAGUUCUAAGCACAAUCUUUUGCUUGUUCUAUUUAGUUUUCAAAUAUUGGAUAUUUUCUAUAUAUUUUGCAAAGGCUGUGUCUCCUAUGUAUUGCUCCCUUGUAGCUACAGUUUUCAUUAUUCAACCAGUCCCUCAGUUUCAUGAAAUACGUUUUAGUCACUUUUUGUCAGUAUUUCCUAACCAUUUUAUUACUCUGGACUUUGUCUUGCUUCAAGGCAUCACUGAUUUGGCGAGUGUCUAAAUAGAGAGGUGGUGUUGGCUAAAUAUGCUGCUUGCGUUGGAAAGUGAUCACUGCAGAGUUAAGUUAUUACGGAAGACCACUUAUUCUCAAAGAUCGCCAAUCCUAUCAUGAGAUCUACUUGAGGUUGUUCUCGUUUUAGUCUGGUUAAUGUCUUUUAAUGGUGUUAUAAACUGUGCGCCUUUGUGGUUUUUUGUGGGUUGGUCUUGGGUAGUGUAUUAAAUUAGUGUUUGGUAGGUGGGUUUUGUACCCUGGCAAAAUAGCAGUGACAUUUCUCUGCAGUAUUAGUGCAAUAACUAUUGAACUCUAUCCUUUUUGGCUGCCAAGAUGCCUGCUAUUGUUGCAAAGAUGCUGAACAUUCCAGCGGCCUAAUGACUAUUCAUUAUAGGUCUGAUAUGAUAUAUAAAGUAAUAUUUUAACCAUAAACACCAUAAUGACAUUUAUUGUCUCUUAACCCUAAAAGUAACCCUUCCGACGAAAAAACUACAGUAUCAGGGAUAGGUAAAUUAUCUACAUAAUCUUUUAAGGAAAGUGGUAUUCUGUACUCGUAUGUAUUAAGAGAAUAAACAGUGCCGGUUGGUUCUGCAACGAAGGCAAUUUUAUUUCUUUAAUACCAUUAAUACAUUGUUUGAGCCCUUGCUUAGUGUUAUUACUAAAUACAAAACUUGCACAUUGUUUCUUUUGGAGAGGAUGAUCAAGGUCUUCCACUCAAGAUUUGCGACAUCCUUUGAUAGCCAAUAUCCUUUAUGCCACGAGCGCAGCAUUGGUUAUAUUACCAUAAAUAUCGUAGUUUUGCGCUUCUUUAUUUUUUACUGAAUUUGUCUUUCCUAUUAGCGAAGCUUUGAUUUUGCCGUCAGUAAGUUAUUAUAAAUUUGUUUUGAGUAGUUUUUAUAUUGGAGACCAAUUUUGGGGUUAUUUUUAGCAAGAUGCGUUUUUGGUUGACUGACUCUACACUGUUAAUUUAUUUCAAUUAAAAAAAUAUGAUUGCCGAGACAUGUAGACUUCGACCUUUAAGAAACUACUGCAGAGGAUAUGAGUAAUCAAGAGUUUUCAAGAAUAUACAAUGGUAUGGAGGUUGGAAAAAGCUUGGCAAGAGACAUGCAUAUGGUGUAAGAAUUUGUAUUUUUAAAGAGUGAAUAUAGAAGUUGGGUCUGAGUAACUUGUUUCUCAAUACUUUUGGUCGCUUCCACGAUAAGUAUGUUAAUUGAAGUAAUUACAUAAUGGAAGAGAGGGUUUUGAGAUUUAAGGGUUUCAUGAACAAAUCUACAAAUCAGAUGGGUAUACGGACUUUUAAAUUUAAUACACCAAUUCUCAAAAAUGACAAGUUUCCUUUAAGGACAAAUCAGAUGGGUGGAAAGAUUAGUCAUUUAUUAGAAUAUUGUAAAUUUGAUAAAUUUUUCUUUCCAGGGUAAAUCUACAAAAUCGGGUGGUUAGAUUCAUCCUUAGGGACGACAAUUUUUCGACGAGCAUCAGAUUGUUUAAUAAGCAGCAUUCUUCCGCAACUUUGUAUUCGUGAAAUUUAAAGGUUUUUGUGUAUAGUUUCUCGAAUAUAUCUGAAGGUAUUUAAAACUUUUGAACAAGAUAAAGUAUUCCAGUAAUUUAAACAGUAUAUUCAUAUGAUCAAAUACAGUAACUUUCAUUUCAGUUAACUAUUUAAUUGAACCUGAUAACACUUGUACUUCGAAGAAAUUUAUCUUUACUAAUGAAACUCCUGACGACUUGCCCACAUGACAAGGAAGUAGCGUUAACAAUGUUUGCUUAAUAGCUUGCUAUCAAGAUUGUCUUUCGUCGUUGCUUGAUAAUUACCCUUUAGAUUAAAUC